rnacentral:rRNA from 1 species
UACGUAGGGUGCGAGCGUUAAUCGGAAUUACUGGGCGUAAAGCGUGCGCAGGCGGUUCGUUAAGUUCGUUGUGAAAGCCCCGGGCUCAACCUGGGAACUGCAAUGGAAACUGGCGGGCUUGAGUAUGGCAGAGGGGGGUGGAAUUCCGCGUGUAGCAGUGAAAUGCGUAGAGAUGUGGAGGAAUACCGAUGGCGAAGGCAGCCUCCUGGGCCAACACUGACGCUCAUGCACGAAAGCGUGGGGAGCAAACAGG